rfam:Marchantia polymorpha subsp. polymorpha scaffold107, whole genome shotgun sequence.
AUACCUUUCUCGGCCUUUUGGCUAAGAUCAAGUGUAGUAUCUGUUCUUAUCAGUUUAAUAUCUGAUACGAGGGUCAUCGACCCUCACGAUAUUAAUCUAAUUUCUCUUUGUGUGGUGGUCCGGAUCGGCAGCUUGCUGUCGUAGGUCUGCCCGUGUCGCCUCGGUAUCGCACUGUCUCCAAGGAAGGCGCAACCCUC